UUCCAGCCCACCUCUCAAGACGAUGCCUGUAUUCAAGACAUGUUCAUCCAGGUCACACAGAUAAGCACGGAACAUUUACCAGAAAAAUGAUGCAGCAGUGUGGGAACUGUCAUCCUCCCAGAGAGCAAGAGACAUCCCCAAGUUCCCAGCAGCAGCGAGAAACCAGUGAGUCUGGAUGUAAGGGAAGCAUCGCAGGACUCUGGGCAUCUGAGGCCAUUACUCCUCUGGUUAAGAGCCCAUGUCCUGGGCCCUAACUGUCUGGGUACAAACCCAAAAUCUUUUGCUUCCUAGCUCUGUGCAUUUGGCUCAACUGGUCUAUACCUUGGUCCUUACUUUUAUAAAACUGAGAAUUUACAGGAUAUAAUUCCAGAUUGUUUUCCUAGGAUGAAACACUUAAAAAUUAGUUAACUAACAGAAAUCCAGAUUAGUUCUUAACACAUAUAUGUGAGGCUGCUAGUAUUACUGAG
rnacentral:lncRNA from 1 species